rnacentral:tRNA from 2 species
CCCCGUUGGCUCAGUGGUAAAGCGUAUCACUAGUAAUGAUAAGAUCACUGGUUCGAUUCCAGUACGGGGCAU